rnacentral:rRNA from 1 species
UACAGAGGCCUCGAGCGUUAGGCGGAAUCACUGGGCUUAAAGCGUGUGUAGGUGGAUGCCUAAGUACCUUGUGAAAUCCCAUGGCUUAACCAUGGAAUUGCUUGGUAUACUGGGUGUCUUGAGCCACUCAGGGGCGAGCGGAACAAACGGUGGAGCGGUGAAAUGCGUAGAUAUCGUUUGGAACGCCAAUGGUGAAAACAGCUCGCUGGGGGUGUGCUGACACUGAGACACGAAAGCCAGGGGAGCAAACGGG